rnacentral:rRNA from 1 species
UACGAAGGGUGCAAGCGUUAAUCGGAAUUACUGGGCGUAAAGCGCGCGUAGGUGGUUCGUUAAGUUAGGAGUGAAAGCCCCGGGCUCAACCUGGGAAUUGCUUCUAAAACUGGCGAGCUAGAGUAUGGUAGAGGGUGGUGGAAUUUCCUGUGUAGCGGUGAAAUGCGUAGAUAUAUGGAGGAACACCAGUGGCGAAGGCGACUUUCUGGACGAUAACUGACGCUGAGACGCGAAAGCGUGGGGAGCAAACAGGAUUAGAUACCCCGUAAUCCCUGAGCGGG